rnacentral:rRNA from 1 species
GUUGCGAACGGGUGAGUAACGCGUAGGUAACCUGCCUGGUAGCGGGGGAUAACUAUUGGAAACGAUAGCUAAUACCGCAUAAGAGUAGAUGUUGCAUGACAUUUGCUUAAAAAGGUGCAAUUGCAUCACUACCAGAUGGACCUGCGUUGUAUUAGCUAGUUGGUGAGGUAACGGCUCACCAAGGCAACGAUACAUAGCCGACCUGAGAGGGUGAUCGGCCACACUGGGACUGAGACACGGCCCAGACUUCCUACGGGAGGCAGCAGUAGGGAAUCUUCGGCAAUGGGGGGAACCCUGACCGAGCAACGCCGCGUGAGUGAAGAAGGUUUUCGGAUCGUAAAGCUCUGUUGUAAGAGAAGAACGAGUGUGAGAGUGGAAAGUUCACACUGUGACG